GCAGGAAAAAUAUUUUGCCCAUUUGGAACAAAUGAAAAAUAAAGCAAAUAUUCAACAAAAUGUACAGUUAAUUAAAAAUAUACAUAAUAAACACUCAGAAUAAAUGAAUAUAUAUGAUGAUUAAACAACGACUGCUUAUGUAUGUAUCAUUGUUAUUAUAACACGGGGGGAGGGGGGUGAGGGGAUUGUCGAGUGACAGUAUAAGGUGGUGAGGCACUUUAUUUAGAAAAGUUAUUAUUUGUGAUCUUCGGAAGAUUGAACUCUUUCAUCAAUUAUUUAUAUAAUUGAAUAAAAAAAUUGCUACGCACAUCACCCACAACAGAGGGUGUUCCUAAAUUGAAGGUACAAACGAAAAGGGGAGUUUCUCUAAAAGUAAUUUAAAAAAAAGUCCCAUUAACAUGGGAUUGCAAACGUUUCGUUCUUGAAAUACAGGGGGAGUUUGAAUUGGUAUCAGAACAAGUUGUGAAAACACAGUCAUUAUUAGAAAUACCAAGUUCAAUUUAAUGUGCCAAAACUAACAAUUAAUUCAUUCACUACAGCUUACUAACUGAAUUGGUAUGACAAUUUAGAUUUUUCUGGGAAUUUCGAGAGAAUCGUUCAAAAUUUUUUCUUCGAAAUCGCAGAUGCGACAAAUAUGCAAGAGACCAUAAAGUUUAAUAUAACGACAAAGCUUCUUUUCACAUUUUUUCAAAUCAACAGUGGCUUACCAAAAACAAGUUCUGGAGGAAAAGAAGGGACAGUGUUCACUCUUCAGAUUUGCUAUCGAAAUUGACAUGUCACAUAGUGUGAACUCUGAAUUGAAUUAUCUAUGCCAAAUUUCAGUUGAAUAUCUUGCGAAGUGUAGAUACUACGAGACAAAAACUUGAAAAGAAUUCAAACUUCAACACCCUGUAGCUCGAAAACGAAACGUUUGCGAUCUCAUGUUUAUGGGACUUUUCUUUCUUAAAAUUACAUAGGGAAUUAACACAAAAUUGUAUUGGGACUGAAACUGAAGGCAAGUACCGAGGUUCAGACCAAACAGUAAUCUGAAAGAGUGCACAAUUCCAAUCUUUUUUUUUUUUGACCCAAGUAAAUGAGGAAUAAGAGAUGCUAAAUAAUUUGAUUAUAAACUCUCAACUCCGUAACGAGGUUGACAAUUUGGGGAUGUCAUAAAUGAUUUAAUUCUACAUACAAUCAUGUAAAUUGUAACUCUUGAGAACGAUUUCGUAAUUUGCAAAGUAAAUUCCAAUAAUUUUUCUCCGAUAUAAAAAAAACAGCUAUUUUGACAAAAAAUUCAUUUCAAGCUCUAAUAACUUUUUGAAGAGCCGUUUUAUCGAAAAAUUAUAUGGAACAGUUUUUUUAGAGCACUUAAUUCCUCACAUAAAAAUAUAUCGCUCAAUGGAAUAUCACAAAUAUCACACAAAUCGAAUGAAAAAGUGCUAGAAUGUGAAAACUAAUAGUUUAGUUUCUUUUCUUAUGAUGACAUAAUUAUUUUGACCACUUCUAGAAACUUGCCUCCAUUUAUCUUUCAAAGGAGGUACUUCUGACUGAUUUCAAAACAGGUGAAAGAUACACCCUAGAAAAUGAAGCGCAGAGGCUCUAAGCAUAUGCUUCUUAGAGGAAGUUAAAUAUGGUUCAUCAGAGGUCGUAAGACAACCGUGAGUCUUCGAACUUCGAAUAGACGGAUAAAAGAAAUAAAUGCUGAGGAGUGAUGACAAAAUCCAAUGAUAUAAAUGAUGCAAUAUUAAAUAUUAAAAAUUAUUGGUGCGGCACUGCCUCGCCACCUCAUAGGGCAGCCGACCCUGUAUUAUGAAUUAUUGAUGUGUGCUUCUACUGUCCGAAACAGCCAAUCAAAUAUUUCUUAAAUAUGGCUUUGUUAAAAGGCUUAUUGCAUGCAAAAUUGUAUAUCGUACUAUAAGAAAAAUCCUUUUGAUUCUUGAGCAAUCAGCCUCUCCAGGUGCGAGUGCUUGCAGCACAAAUAUGCGGAGACUACUUUACUCAGAGACCCAGGUUGUCUCUACUGAUCAGUGCAGCAUAUAAUGGAGGCACCGAACUCGUCUGGUCUGGUGGUAGAGUUCGGACCCCGCACUAGGACAUGCCCGAACAUUUUCUUUUCAAUUUCGUGAAUUUCUUUUACUCGCUAACUGCCUAGCAGCCCGCACCCGCCCUUACCUGAGUCACAAGUUUAACAAUUUUUGCACUGCUGAAACAGACACGAAUAAUCUAGACUGGAAACGAAUUAUUUGACGUUAACUUCGGGGUGCGCCAUAAAGGACGGACGUUUUUGAAAUGCCCAAAAUUAUAACUCUAAUAGGUUUUAUUUACCAGUCGAAGUAUUGGAGCCGUGAAUGGUUGAACUACACCAAGCAUUUUCGAGUAUGAAAGUUCUGCGAGAGUACCGUUUCAAUCAAAGAUUAUAGAGUCAGGUUACUGGUUAGGUUAGGCCUAACUCUAUAAUCUUUGGUUUCAAUAUUCACAGAAAUCGAGAUGUUCCCGCUCGAAACACCAUUCUUUGUUGUUGUUUGUGCUGUUCUGAACAAUAUAAGUACAUCAGGGAUUCCACGAAAGAUUCGAAUUCCUUGAAAUGUGCUAAUCAGCUUGACAGCAUUUUGCGGAACUUCGCCUAGCGUGCAAAUGGUUCUGUAUAGAAUUUGAAAAAGCCUGGACACCGAAGAACAGUUCGUACACCAGAAAAUAUUGAACGAGGUGGAAUUGCGUUUACGAGAAGUCCUAGAAGGUUUGCUAAUCGACAAAGACUUAUCAUUUAGAAGACGUGAUUUUCAAAAGUUAGAAUCAAAUUCACCAAAUAUAUAUGUAAUUAUAAAUCCCAAAGAGCAAGCUAUAAUUUAUUGUAAUACAAAGUUUAUUUUAAAUAAAAAAAAAUUUAAUUCAAAUAUUAAAAUGGGAAGCCUAUUAUGGGGUAUAUAUGCUCGUUCGAUACCAAAUAUUUCAGCCACCUUCUUGGUUUAACAAUUCAUGUUAGUGAAAAUUAUAUCAUUUUGUUAUCAGUUUGUUUAGAAGACUUUCAUUUUAACCAUUCUUAACAAAAUACACUUCAUAUCUCCAGAGAAAUUUAUUUCAUGGAAAAAAAAACGAGAGUGAAACUGUUUUUAGAUUUUCACGAAGAUUAUUUUGCAAUGAAAAAUACAUAUUCUUUUUUCAGGAGAUCUACUUGACCUUGAAGAUAUCUUCAAAUCAAUCUCAAAGUUCUGAUUAAAUUUCUGCUUUCGAUGUCUUGAAGACUAAAAAAACAUUUUUGAUCGAGGCUCUUCCCAAGGAAUUAUUCCAGUGGUUCUUUCAAAAUGCUUUACCCUGUAUAGUUUGCAAUUUAGAAAGACGACAAUUACACUAAAGAUCACAGCACAACCCAAAAGAGCGCGGAAGUUGCCCAAGUUGACUGAGGGAUGUUGGAGUUUAUGCGAACAAAAAACGAACACCAGAUUUUCUACACUUAAUUUUUCGAAAUGAUAUUCAACUACGAAUUCGAAUCUGUCAAUAAAAGUAUUAUUUAGUGAAAAUUACCAAUCUUUUUAGAACCGCCCUUCCUUUAUGUCGCACCAUGAAGAUUCGAAAGCUGCGUAGUAAAUAUCAUCGUUCAUGGAUGAUUUUGUCCAGGAAACAAUUAUUUUAUUUCACCUAAGCCUGAACGAAUGUGACAUUUCAGUAUCAGAAAAAUAGAGCUUAUGGUGGUAUGUUCAAU